GCAUUCUUUGCCCUACCAGCCCUGCGUAGGCUUGUGGUCCUCAGGCGGGGCUUUGGGGUCCCCGGUUUGGGCAGGGGAAACUUGGAGCUGGGUGCAGACUAUAGUCGAUAAGCGAAGGAAACGAAGGGGCUGAUCCUGGAUCCUGGCCUGGAUACCAGCACUUAUUAGAAUGGACGUUGCACGCUAACAGCAACAGAAACGAGGAAGGUGGAAACGGCACACAGGCAAAAUCUUCCAGGUUUUUAUCUUCAACAAAGGUGGGGCAGAAGAUGGUUCUUAGGAACCUCCUGUAACUGUGCUGAUGGCAGAGAUACCUUCACACCCAGGGUUCACCAGAGGGGAAUCAUCUUAGGGGUAGAGGGAGUUGUUCAGGAGAUCCCUUUCCCUAAAAUCUCAGCAUGUCAGCAGGCCUUGAAGGUACAGCAAUGACCAGGGCUGACCUGCCACCUCAGAGUUCAGUCUGAUAGAGGAGGAAGACAAAGAAGAAAAAUGAAGAGGUUUUUGCAACACACUGUGAUGGGUGGUGUGAGUGGAAGCCCAGGCCUUGGGAGCCCAGAAGGUAUUGUCUCUGCAAGAUGAUGUGGGUUUUCCGGAGGAAAUCACGACCAUAGAGCAUCUUGAAGGAGGCCAUGUUCUGGGAUCAGAAAAAUUUGAGAUUGGGGUCCUAGCAUAUGACUUGACCUCUGUGCAAUUCUUUUGAUAUUUUCUUUCAGUCACAAGAUGGCUGCCAGAGCUGGAAACAUGUUUCCUGUGCUCUUGUUUAAGGAAAAAUAUCAAAGGUUUUAUUUAUUAAUAAAUACUUGGGACUUAUUUUUUUUCCAGGUAAUAUGUACUUGCACAUGGUAAAAAUUCAAGUAGUAUAAAAGU